ACAUACGACCAUAGGGUGUGGAAAACAGGGCUUCCCGUCCGCUCAGCCGUACUCAAGCCACACGCCGGUGAGUUAGUAGUUGGGUGGGUGACCACCAGCGAAUCCUCACUGUUGUAUGUU
rnacentral:rRNA from 1 species